UACGUAGGGGGCUAGCGUUGUCCGGAUUUAUUGGGCGUAAAGAGCGUGUAGGCGGCCAGGUAGGUCUGCUGUGAAAACUCGAGGCUCAACCUCGAGACGUCGGCGGAAACCAUCUGGCUAGAGUCCGGAAGAGGAGAGUGGAAUUCCUGGAUGUAGCGGUGAAAUGCGCAGAUAUCAGGAAGAACACCCGUGGCGAAGGCGGCUCUCUGGGACGGUACUGACGCUGAGACGCGAAAGCGUGGGGAGCGAACAGGG
rnacentral:rRNA from 1 species